rnacentral:rRNA from 1 species
GAUUGAACGCUGGCGGCAGGCCUAACACAUGCAAGUCGAACGGCAGCACAGAAGAGCUUGCUCUUUGGGUGGCGAGUGGCGGACGGGUGAGUAAUGUCUGGGAAACUGCCCGAUGGAGGGGGAUAACUACUGGAAACGGUAGCUAAUACCGCAUAACGUCGCGAGACCAAAGUGGGGGACCUUCGGGCCUCACACCAUCGGAUGUGCCCAGAUGGGAUUAGCUAGUAGGUGGGGUAAUGGCUCACCUAGGCGACGAUCCCUAGCUGGUCUGAGAGGAUGACCAGCCACACUGGAACUGAGACACGGUCCAGACUCCUACGGGAGGCAGCAGUGGGGAAUAUUGCACAAUGGGCGCAAGCCUGAUGCAGCCAUGCCGCGUGUAUGAAGAAGGCCUUCGGGUUGUAAAGUACUUUCAGCGGGGAGGAAGGCGGUGAGGUUAAUAACCUCGCCGAUUGACGUUACCCGCAGAAGAAGCACCGGCUAACUUCCGUGCCAGCAGCCGCCGGUAUUACGGGAGGUGCAAGCGUUAAUCGGAAUUACUUGGCGCGUAAAGCGCCCACCGCCGGCGGUCUUGUUAAGUCAGAUGUGGAAUCCCCCGGGCCUUACCCUGGACCUGCAUUUGAAACCUUGCCAGGCCUUGAGUCUCGUAGAGGGGGGUAGAAUUCCAGGUGUAGCGGCUGAAAUGCGUAGAGAUCUGGAGGAAUACCGGUGGCGAAGGGCGGCCCCUUGGACGAAGACUGACGCUCAGGUGCGAAAGCGUGGGGAGCAAACAGGAUUAGAUACCCUGGUAGUCCACGCGUAAACGAUGUCGACUUGGAGGUUGUGCCCUUGAGGCGUGGCUUCCGGAGCUAACGCGUUAAGUCGACCGCCUGGGGAGUACGGCCGCAAGGUUAAAACUCAAAUGGAUUGACGGGGGCCCGCACAAGCGGUGGAGCAUGUGGUUUAAUUCGAUGCAACGCGAAGAACCUUACCUGGCCUUGACAUCCAGAGAACUUAGCAGAGAUGCUUUGGUGCCUUCGGGAACUCUGAGACAGGUGCUGCAUGGCUGUCGUCAGCUCGUGUUGUGAAAUGUUGGGUUAAGUCCCGCAACGAGCGCAACCCUUAUCCUUUGUUGCCAGCGGCUCGGCCGGGAACUCAAAGGAGACUGCCGGUGAUAAACCGGAGGAAGGUGGGGAUGACGUCAAGUCAUCAUGGCCCUUACGGCCAGGGCUACACACGUGCUACAAUGGCGCAUACAAAGAGAAGCGACCUCGCGAGAGCAAGCGGACCUCAUAAAGUGCGUCGUAGUCCGGAUUGGAGUCUGCAACUCGACUCCAUGAAGUCGGAAUCGCUAGUAAUCGUAGAUCAGAAUGCUACGGUGAAUACGUUCCCGGGCCUUGUACACACCGC